rnacentral:rRNA from 1 species
AACGAACGCUGGCGGCAUGCUUUACACAUGCAAGUCGAACGGUAACAGGCCGCAAGGUGCUGACGAGUGGCGAACGGGUGAGUAAUGCAUCGGAACGUGCCCAGUCGUGGGGGAUAACGCAGCGAAAGCUGCGCUAAUACCGCAUACGAUCUAUGGAUGAAAGCGGGGGACCGUAAGGCCUCGCGCGAUUGGAGCGGCCGAUGUCAGAUUAGGUAGUUGGUGGGGUAAAGGCUCACCAAGCCAACGAUCUGUAGCUGGGCUGAGAGGACGAGCAGCAACACUGGGACUGAGACACGGCCCAGACUCCUACGGGAGGCAGCAGUGGGGAAUUUUGGACAAUGGGCGCAAGCCUGAUCCAGCAAUGCCGCGUGCAGGAAGAGGGCCUUCGGGUUGUAAACUGCUUUUGUACGGAACGAAACGGUCCUGGUUAAUACCCGGGGCUAAUGACGGUACCGUAAGAAUAAGCACCGGCUAACUACGUGCCAGCCGCCGCGGUAAUAC